rnacentral:rRNA from 1 species
UUAAAUUGAAGAGUUUGAUCAUGGCUCAGAUUGAACGCUGGCGGCAGGCCUAACACAUGCAAGUCGAGCGGAAACGAGUUAUCUGAACCUUCGGGGAACGAUAACGGCGUCGAGCGGCGGACGGGUGAGUA